AGAUCAUUCAGAAAAUUAAAGACAUACCACUCCGCAUAAACAAUAUCACCGAUAAGCAAAUCAAGGACAUCAAUUCAGCUCCAGCAAUUGAUGGAUGAGUCGUGUGACGUGACCGAUAUCGAACAGACAGCUCUGCUAUGCAGGUCUUUUGCGAGAGGCAAGUUAGCUGGUUCAGUCCUUUCAACAUAAAAUGUGAUUCCAGCUGCUAAGCCUUGGGCGGCGUACGCUGUGCUACGGCGCUGAUCAAAGACGGAACAUGGCUUCCAUUCAAAAAAGGCUGUCAUGACAUGACUGUGAACCUUUGAGAUGAGCGCGAGUUGUUCAGCGUUGCAAAACAUGCCCGCUCAACUGUGAGGUGACAUCCGAGAAAAUGAGGCUGCGAUGCCGUGACGCCUCAUCCCACCAGAGACACCUUUAUGCACCACUGACUUAUAAUGCUGAUGAGAUGUGAGACAAGUCUGAAGAGAGGAGCAACCGAUUACUUCCAGGCUCCACGGACGUUAAGUAUAGCAUGCACGUUGGCUUCAUUGAAGGUUUUGAAUCAUAGAUGUCAAACUCGAGGCCCGAUGGCCAGAUUUGGAUCCAAUGCUGGGUUAAUUAUUUGAGUUACUUUUAAGUGAAGUCAGUUGUCAUGAACGGAUAUCAUGUUGAAUCUUUUUCCUCAUUUACUGACAUCCAUUGUUGUGGCAUUUGCAGAUAAUCUAUACAGGGAGUUGUUAGUAUUGAUUGCGAUAUAGAAUAAUUUUACAAAUGAGGCAGCUUGUGUCAGCGCGCAGAUCAACACGUGCACAUGCGAUGCAAAAUGACGCCCUCAGGGCAGCCUUUGCCUGUUCCCCACACACUUAAGUCUUCCUGGGUUUAGGAAAUCGACCCCGGCUUAUUUUCACUGGCCGUCCGGGCUGGUUAACAAACAAGCAAGAAUAAAACGGCAGCUGCUGAAAUUGUAUGUAACUUUUUGAGUUGGAUCGCUCUAAUAGUGUGACCUUUAUUGAUUUCUUGUCUACGCCUUGGGCCCGGCAAAGCACUAAUGACAUUGGUCAAUAAAAACCAUGACGUGGAAGUUCUUUCCCCCCAGCGCCUACUGACCACUUCCCUAAAAAUAGUCGGAGACGGCGAGAGCAUUGACAGCUCCGGGGCUCUUGUUCAACUGGAGGGCCUCGGCUCGCUUUCGACACAGGUAAAACGGGCCAACAUGCUGGGCUGUCCGCUUUAGAGUAUUUCACUUUCAACCGGGCCCAGCCAGCUCCCAUUCAGAAAAGAGGCUUGACACAUCCGAGCGAGUAGCUUGCCUCCUUUAAUCAAUACAUUCGGAACGCGGCGGGGCGGACACCAAAUAAAGCCAGCAAAUCGUUUGGCCUCUGCGUCUGGCGUGGCGCUCUCUGGGAAUGUGCUGCUUAAAGGAAUUCCUAUUUAAAGGAAAGACAUUUACAAUUGAACGGCACCCCCGCCACUUCUCAACCAAGACCACCACUUGCGUAUCGACUCUACUGUCAAUGUGCGCCUGCUGACGUCUUUCUACAGUUGGUUCAAUGGAGCAGAAAAGCGAACUACAUUCGUCGAACCGGACCGAGAUGUUACGAUUUCUCGGACAACUUUGGCAUACUAGUAGGGAAACUUUAUGUGACUAGAGAAGAAAAACUGUGCUCUAUCUAUCUAUCUAUCUAUCUAUCUAUCUAUCUAUCUAUCUAUC